UCCGUCAACUAAUGGGCUACUAGAUUUCUUUUACAUAAUUACAGCAGAACUAAAACUGCUUAAGUGACGGAAUACUUUAAGAAACAUUUGGCGUCAUCAGAUGUGGAGAAAGCCUGCGGAGUAUAUUGGGUUAACAAAUUUAGCACUUAACUGUUAGGAAUGACGCUCCUAACAGUUUUUU
rnacentral:sRNA from 12 species